rnacentral:rRNA from 1 species
CAGCAGCCGCGGUACUACGAAGGGUGCAAGCGUUAAUCGGAAUUACUGGGCGUAAAGCGCGCGUAGGUGGUUAUAUAAGACAGAUGUGAAAUCCCCGGGCUCAACCUGGGAACUGCAUUUGUGACUGUAUAGCUAGAGUACGGCAGAGGGGGAUGGAAUUCCGCGUGUAGCAGUGAAAUGCGUAGAUAUGCGGAGGAACACCGAUGGCGAAGGCAAUCCCCUGGGCCUGUACUGACGCUCAUGCACGAAAGCGUGGGGAGCAAACAGGAUUAGAUACCCCAGUAGUCCCUGUCUCUUAUAC